AUACUCAAGUUAUGGCUCCAACCAUUACUACAAGCAAAACCGCUUACUUACUGCCUUUGAUUUGGAAGCACCGCCUUCAACUCCUUACAACUCCUUCAUAUGAACUUUAAAAGCAAUAUUUCUUUCAUGAAAGAUGUAGGCCUUGAAAUCGCCGUUCUAAUUGCACCUUCCGAUCUUCAAAAGCUGCUGUAAAACUCCUCGUACUCUUAAAAGAGUAACAGUAUGCCUCAAAUAAACACCUUAACUUCAA
rnacentral:lncRNA from 1 species